rnacentral:rRNA from 1 species
CUACACAUGCAAGUCGUACGAGAAAAUCCGCUUCGGCGGGUGAGUAAAGUGGCGCACGGGUGAGUAACGCGUGGAUAAUCUGCCUUUAAGCGGGGAAUAACUUACCGAAAGGUGGGCUAAUACCCCAUAAAGCUAUGGAGCUCCGGUUUUCAUAGCCAAAGAGAGCCUCUGCAUGCAAGCCCUCACUUAGAGAUGAGUCCGCGUACCAUUAGCUAGUUGGUGGGGUAAUGGCCUACCAAGGCGACGAUGGUUAGCUGGUCUGAGAGGAUGAUCAGCCACACUGGAACUGAGACACGGUCCAGACUCCUACGGGAGGCAGCAGUGAGGAAUAUUGCGCAAUGGGGGCAACCCUGACGCAGCAACGCCGCGUGAGUGAGGAAGGUUUUCGGAUCGUAAAGCUCUGUCGGGUGGGAAGAAAUGUAUGGAGGUUAACAGCCUUUGUACUUGACGGUACCGCCAAAGGAAGCACCGGCUAACUCCGUGCCAGCAGCCGCGGUAAUACGGGGGGUGCUAGCGUUGUUCGGAAUCAUUGGGCGUAUAGAGCGUGUAGGCGGCUAGGCAAGUCAGAUGUGAAAUCCCUGGGCGUAACCCAGGACGUGCAUUUGAAACUGCUUGGCUUGAGUAGGGAAGAGGGCAGUGGAAUUCCUGGUGUAGAGGUGAAUUCGUAG